UGGCUUGCAGCCUAGAGAGGAUAAAGGAACUGCCUCCUUAUUCCUAUAGUUUCCAGGUGUAGAUUACUUUUGUAACUUAAGUCUGCCUUCUGGAGUCCAUUUGUGAACAGAAUGUGAGUGAGUAAACUCUUUUUAUACUUUCAUAGAAGACUGUGUCGUGUCUAUCUUUUUAUGAGGGACUAAAUGGGGAAUUACCAAGGAAAUGUGUUUUAGAGGCUUUAGCGAGCCUGAGCAAACGCAUCCGCUGUGCAAGUUUAAAAGGGGAAUGUUACUCUGCUAAAUUGUAGAACUUGUUAACACAAGUUGGAAAGGACAUAAUCAAACAAUAUAUCUUCUCCUGCAUCCCCGAACAUUCCCACACAUCUAUCCAUCAGCCUUAUUCUGAACUGCCUGACAGGCACCUUAUCAAGAGAUUGUUGAGGCCCUGGACCAACCUUUGCCUUGGAAAAGUGUAUCAUCCCUCCUGACCUAAUCUCUUGCCAGUGAUAUCGUCCCCUGGAAGAAGGCUCCUGCUUUUACUGGAGCACUGCUACAAAGGAAGUGCUUACUAAUAUAUUGAUCGUAGGCCACACAAGCACACACAUAUUACUGCUACAUUUUGGUGACAAAUUGAUAAACUGCAUCUUCUCUGGGUUAAAGAUUUGAUCUCAUUCACUUAAUCCACUAUCAAUAAGAUAUUAAUCGUGCACCGACCCACUGUGCUUCUCAUCCGCCUACAAAUCCAAUAAUCAUUUCAGAAUUCACAGCUGAGUAGGACACUUGCUUCAAACAAUUAAUUUUAGGGGAGUCUCAUUUAUUUUCCCUAUAACCCUGUUCUCCCUCUCUUGGCUUGUACACACAGAGACGCACAUACACAAACACAAACACUGCCCUGCUGAUGCUUCCACUCAGCCAUGUUUAUAGGGAGGGAAGGAAGGAAGGAAGGAAGGAAGGAAGGAAGGAAGGAAGGAAGGAAGGAGAUUUUCCCCACGCUGCAGGGCACAGGAUCUUUUGUUACCCAAGUAUUUGCUUGCUUGCUGACAAUCUUCUGCCCCCAUCGACAAACUCCACAAGCUUUAUGAAGCAGAAACUGAUCAGCCUGAGAUACCUUCCAUGCUAAACACUGAAUAAAGGCAAAGCGUGUUCUUCUUAAUGGAGAGCACGUAUUGCGGUGGGGUCUAACAGGACACCCCCUCUUGGUUACUGGGCGGGACCAUUUGGAUAGCCAUGACUGUGAUUGGGCCAAUUUGGGUUGUUGGGGAGAUUUUGAUGUUACCAUUUAGAGGGUUGUUCUGAAGUUUAUAUAUUCUUGGCACGCAGCUUUUUUCAGUCUCUUUUGCCGCAUGCAUCGGAUCGCCCGCCUACCCUCCCUAAUUUAGGGCUGUUGUGUUUGACCUUGCUAUGCCUGUCAUGGGGUCGUCUGCUUUGGGGGCAGGGGUCCGGUAGGAAUUUGGUCCAUUUGGCAGAUUGGCUGGUGCCAUUUGGUUUUUGCCUACUGCGUAGCAAAUCGUCACAACGUGUAAGGUUGCGGUUAGGCAUUGGUUAAAAUUUGGUUGGUGGAGGGGUAAGGGUUGGCUCAGUUGGUGAAGCACUCUUGUUCUCAGAAUUGUGGGCUCAAGCCCCACAUUGGGCAAAAAUAUCCCUGCAUUGCAGGGGGUUGGACUAGAUGACCCUCGUGGUCCCUUCCAACACUAUGAUUCUAUGAUUUUAUGCUUGGGUUAAAGGGGGGUCCCAUGCCUGAAGGCUGCUGGGCUGUAGAAGCUUUUUUGAUCAGAGCUGAAGGCCUUCUCGGUGGUGGCGCCCACUGGAACGCCCUCCCAUCAGAUGUCAAGGAAAUAGACAACUAUCUGACUUUUAGAAGACGUCUGAAGGCAGUCCAGUAUACCUGAAGGAGCGUCUCCACCCCCAUCGUUCAGCCCGGACAGUGAGGUCCAGCGCCGAGGGCCUUCUGAGGGUUCCCAAGAAGUGAGUAGCUGGGGAAACCUGGAGUAGCUGGGGAAACCUGGCCAGAUGGGUGGGGAAUAAAUAAUAAGUUAUUAUAAUAAUAUUGUUAUUAUUGUUACUAGUUGAAGCAUGUAAGAAAAGGUAGCAAGCCCUUAACCCACCCUCUGAACACGGGGAGACGAAAGCAGAAAAGCUGAGCAGAAUCUCCUAGUUCUGUGCUGGACUCUGGAAGAACAGUGCCAGAAAGCCAACAGUGAAGACACAAAAUGGGUUGUGUGGGAUUUAGAGAAGAGGGAGAUGGAGAGAGAGACUCCCCCCAAAAAACUCACAUGUCUGCCUUUUUUUGACAGCCAGAGAGAUGAAGCGAGGGUUUCACCCUGCCCACAGUUGGUGCGAGUUUUCGUCAGGGAAGGGGAGUGAAAUUCCCUGCUGUGGGCAGGGAGGAGAAGCUGGCUCCAGAGAAGCUGCGACACAAAAGUGUUUCAGCAACAAAAGCCGCAGCAGAACAAACAC
rnacentral:lncRNA from 1 species